GUAAUCAUGGCCUAGUGGUUAAGGCGAUGGACUAGAACUCAAUUGGGGUCUCCCCGCGCAGGUUCAAAUCCUGCCGACUACG